AAAGCCUUAAUUUCCCCUCCACAGUCCACCUGAUGGUUGAUGGUUAAUGACAAGCAAUCAAUAUGUCUGUUUAUAGCCUCAGCUCUUCUGUAAUCCACGAACAGCCGAAAUGUUCAGACAAUGAAAAAGUCAGAUUUGUGUUCGCACCUCAGUGCCAUACCACCACACAUUCACACGCCUGGUUCUCAUCCUGUCCCUGACUCGAGCGUCGGGUGAUUAUUUGCUUCGGCUGUUUCUCUACCUUCAGAUAUAAUAUCAAAAUACUUCCAAGAGUACCAAACAAACCGGUAUCGUCUUUGCGCACUCGUACUUUUCCUCGAGAUAUCCUUUUAUAGUCUGUGAAAAAAAUUUUUUUAGCUUGCGCCCAGUCGUUACCUGAACACGUUCGGGAUGGUCCACCGUUUUCUGGCGAUCUUGAGAAGAAGAAAACCGGACAGAAAACACGUUCUUGUCUCUUUAUUUGCAGUGGUAUUGACCGACGACGGUUCACAUUACAACGUCUAGCGUCGAUCAUGUGUCUCAACGUGGACCCGGGAUGCGGCGAACAUGGCGUGCCGUCAACACGUAACCCGAAGCAUGUUGGCGGUCGUUUCGUAUGCGUUUAGCGUGCUAGCAUCCUUCCCAUCGUGCCGGCGAGGAGUUUUAAGAUGUCUCAGCGGAGGCGUUAGUCGGAGCCGAGCCGAGGCUGAGCUCGCUCUCUCGCUCGCCCGUCCAUCCGAGUGACCUCGCGAGGAGACGCGCUAACAGGCAGGACAGGACGGAAGAUCAUUAGCUAAUGUAGGUGAGCUGUCGGUUCCGGGCAGAGCGACAGCUGCAGGGAUUGGAAUGGAGCCACAGAGGUAGGAUUAUUAUUAUUAUUAUUUAAACAUUUUGUUCAAACAGAGGAAGAGAAGAGAAAAAACCCUGCUGUUGACUUUCGCAAAAACAGCAUCUUUUCGAACAUUUCCGAUCUGCCUCACAGGGCGGCGUAACCCACUCGCAUGAAAACGCUGUCUACCCGCUUUCGCUACCACGGCUGCGUCCACGUCGUUCACUAUGUGGGGAAUUUGUACUCGUUUGUGUCUGUUUUAACGUUGCCUUAGCGACCACUUUUUAACCAGGUCAUUUAGGAUUCUGGGCAACUGAAACCUGGGGCUGGGACUGGGCUGCACGUUUGGGCGUUCACAUACCCAGCGGGCUAGCUAAGGAAUUUAUUUAUGAUAAAUAAAUACACCCGUGUCUUGCGUGAAAAGCAGUUAAUUAGUAAAAAAUGACAUUUUGGAGUUAAUAACUAGCGUGUUACACGAGAACCGGUGGCACAGACACGGUUUAGUCCAUAGCUGAGACGACGUCUCUGUGGGCUGAUAUUGUUUGGAAUCAGUUUCCUGUUUCCAUGCGGUGCAGAAGCCGGAUGAGUCAUAAAUGUCAUAAGCACAGUAAUGAGGUGAAGCGAGAGGUCACCGCUGAUUAAAAGGAAACGCGUUUUGCGCACGCUAGGGAGGACGACGGUACAAUGAUACGCAAACCUAAAACUGUAUCCCGAUAACGUCAUGCCGUACAGGUACGACUGAUCAUUUCCUGGUGCGUCGUUCUGCCAACACUUUUUUCAUGGGAAGGUCGCUAGAAGGUGCCGGAUGCUGUCAUGUCAUCACCAGUAGGCAUGUUCACUGAGGAGUCACGGCACACAGCUGUUUACUAGCUGUGCAUGUGUAUUUGGUCAUGGCACCACAAGCUAGCUAUUUACAUGGUUUUUGUUGUUUACGAAAUAACAAUUCAUAUCAAGAACAUGGACAGAGUGAAGUCGUGAGGAGUCGGGGAACAAAAUAUAUCACGGUAUCAGGAGAGAAGUUUAGAAAACGUAGAUGUGUGGGUGAUCAAACAAGGGUGAUCAAACAAGGGUGAUCAGUGGUUGGUCAGUGAUUAGUUAUUGGGAACAGUGGUGAACAGUGAUUGGUCAUUGGGAACAGUGGUGAUCAGUGAUUGUUGGGAACAGCGGUGAUCAGUGAUUGUUGGGAGCAGUGGGGAUUAGUUAUUGGAAACUGGUGAUCGGUGAUUGGUCAUUUUUGAACAGUGGUGAUCAGUGAUUGGUCAUUUUUGAACAGUGGUGAUCAGUGAUUGUUGGGAGCAGUGGUGAUAGGCUAAGUGGUGGCUAAGUGGUGAUAGUGCUUUCAAAAAGUCCAACAAGUAUUCUAGCAUUUUCCCAACUUAAAUAAGCAGAGACUAAAGAUUUUGGCUUGUGCAUUUAUCAUGCAGUAAUGACAUAUUCUUCCCGUUACACCUAAAACACAUUCUGUCCAGUUCUGCACUGUAGAUACUUCUAUCCUUCUGUCCUAAUGCCAUUAGAAAGAUGGAGCUGAUAUCAGGUUCUUCUCUGCCAGAUUCUCGGAGGUGUGGAUGAGAGUGAUGCAGGUUCAUUGAGUGUGCGUUCCAUCACUUCAGCUCUGCUAAUGCGAGCGGAGCUCUGGUUUCAUCUAAGAGAUGACCUCAUGCACACUUCUCGGCACUUCCUGUCUGGGGCGCCCAUUACCGCUGACGCCGUUUGUCGAGGCGGAUCGUAAACAGUGAAAGCCUGUGAUCGAAUUCACGGUCUUCGCCUGGAGUUUAGGCUUUGCUGAAUCGGUUAAGCGGGUGCACCUCUAACUCAAAAGUGCCACUGUAGCUAUAGUGGCACGAGGGGAAAAUUUGCUAAAUAUGCAGCCUGGUCGCUCCACUGAUCUGUUUAAGGAGUAGACAUAGUUUACAGUUCGAAACCUGGAUGGGAGAAUCGAGAGUCCUGUCAAGAGCACUUGGAGGAAAGGGGGCGGGGCCUUAAAACGGUGCCAGUUAAUACUCGUUAUGAUCUAUUUAACAGUGAGGUUAUUUAGGAUUAGGAGAAGUUCGAGACUUCUUGGUGUACUGACGAGCAGGCAACUAAAUAUCGAUGGGUUUUCUUUUAAAUGCAUUAUGACGCACGAGAAAGCAUUUUACCGUAAUAUGGAAAUCUAAUAUCCGGACAUGACUGCACGACUUUUCUUGUUUGUUUCUUUUUGUUUUCCUCACCGUGUAGUCGUGUGUUAAUCACGCAUCCGGAAACGGUAGACUUUUAACGGGUGCUCGAGUUUCCUGUAAGAUCGCAGCCCCAUGCUCUCGGGAGCCGAAAGAAGAAUCCGGCCCCUCGUCUCGGGUUCUCGGCGCUCUCUGAUAAAGACGCGGUUUAUACGCCGUAAAGCUGUUUUAUCGGGUCGCUCGUGUCGGGUGUCGCAGGAAGAUGCUGCCGUUCCUCCUCUCGACAUUUCACAGAGCGCAGAGCUGCUUUCGUUGUUUGCCAUCUGUUCAGAUGUCUGUGAAUACACGCUGUCCUCAACGGCAGUCUUAAGAAGACGCUGGGAAAACGUUAUUUCGCCGCCGCUCUUUCUCCAGCGCGGGACGGAGUUUUACUCACCUGUCUGCUUUCUUCGCUCCUUCUCGUGAUCACCGCCUCUUGUUAAAAUAGGAACGCUCGGUGCUUGUGAAUUUACAGCACGCAUCACGCGGACUGAAGAAAAAUAUCCCGUGUCGGUGGAGCCGAGACGAGGCCUUAUUACGAUUGGCUGAGACCGACAAGACCAUGGUUUAGUGUUUGUAGUUAACCAGUAUACACUAGUACAACAUGCUAACCUAAGCCGUUUUUCUGUCACCAGACACGGCCGUGCCUUCUGCUCUCCCUCACGCCUGCUUUCCUUUUACACUUGUAAUCUUUUCCGCCUUGUCCAUCUGUGCGCGUGUAUUAUUCUGCUUUAGUUAUGAAAUAAACUCGUCUCGUAUCUUUUUGCUUCCCUAACUGUUAUGUAUUCCGUCAAAUAAACCAGGACCAAACGGCCGGAAAAGCUGAGGUGUAAGCAGGAUGUUUGGGCGAGUCGUGUUACGCCGUGCCUCACAGUCCUUCCCAACAGCUCAGGCAGAGGAAGCUAAUUUAGGAUCCUCCGAGGAAAAUCAUGCUUAUCGACACUUUUUUUUAGAAAGCAGGGCUGAGAGAGAGAGACAGAGAGAGAGAGUGAGGAAGGGUAUAAUGUGAUUGAGGAUUCCGGAGGCCAAGUCGGGCAGAAGAGUCUGUACAAGUGAUGACGUGAAGGUGUGUUUUGGGAUGGAUGGACAGAUGGAGAAACAGACAGACGUGCAGACAGAUCAGAACAGGAUGUCUACACCAAGUAGGUCCUGAAAUCCUGGAAAAGUCACGCUUCAGGUUGGGUUUGGGUCAGAUGGAGGGGUGAACAGUUGGAUGGAUGGAUGAAGAAACCAACAGAUAGCUCAGAACAUGAUUUCAGGUGUAGGCAAAGCAGGGCAGAAGAUUCUGUACAUGUGGUGCUUCAGGUUGGUUGGGGCGGUUAAGAAAUGGACAGAUGGUUGAAAGGGUGGAUGGAGAAACAGAUUGACGUGCAGAUAGAUUAGAACAAGAUGUCUAGGCCAUGCAGGGCCAGAAAAUUGUGUGUAAGUGGUGCUUCAGGUUGGGAUUUAGGUAGAUGGACAGAUGGAUGGGUGGAGAAGCAGACAUCAGAAUAGGAGGUCUAGGCCGAGUAGGUCAGAAAAUUCUGUACAAGUGAUGCUUCAGGUUGGGUUUGGGGCGUGUGGAUGAAGAAAUCCACAGAUGUGCGUUUAGAUCAGACAGAGCAGUCUGCUUCUCCACUGAUACUGUAGAUAGAUUCUAGCUGAUCCCUCUACCUCCCUAGUGCUCUCAUUCUACCCGUCAUUCUCUUAGAAAAGGAAACCGAUUACACUACUCAUCAACAACUUCUGCCGCUCGGAAUAAUUACCGGAAGAGUCUUGGUAGAGCUUAAAAGCCUUUUCUUUUUCCUUUAGUCUUUUGCUAAGAUGCAUAAUGUGAUUGCUCAAUAAAAUUGAUUACAGUACAUGGAAUAUUCU
ensembl:lncRNA